UACGAAGGGGGCUAGCGUUGUUCGGAAUUACUGGGCGUAAAGCGCGCGCAGGCGGUCCUUCAAGUCAGAGGUGAAAGCCCAGAGCUCAACUCUGGAACGGCCUUUGAGACUAGAGGACUUGGGUACGGGAGAGGUGAGUGGAAUUCCGAGUGUAGAGGUGAAAUUCGUAGAUAUUCGGAAGAACACCAGUGGCGAAGGCGGCUCACUGGCCCGUUACCGACGCUCAGGCGCGACAGCGUGGGGAGCAAACAGGG
rnacentral:rRNA from 1 species